AUUGAACGCUGGCGGCAGGCCUAACACAUGCAAGUCGAGCGAGCGGCGGACGGGUGAGUAAUGUAUGGGGACUGCCCGAUAGAGGGGGGUAACUACUGGAAACGGUAGCUCAUACCGCAUACUAUCGGAUAACCCAUAUGGGGUUAGCUAGUAGGUGGGGUAAUGGCUCACCUAGGCGACGAUCCCUAGCUGGUCUGAGAGGAUGAUCAGCCACACUGGAACUGAGACACGGCCCAGACUCCUACGGAGGCAGCAGUGGGGAAUAUUGCACAAUGGGCGCAAGCCUGAUGCAGCCAUGCCGCGUGUAUGAAGAAGGCCUUCGGGUUGUAAAGUACUUUCAGUCGGGAGGCGUUACCGACAGAAGAAGCACCGGCUAACUCCGUGCCAGCCGCCGCGGUAAUUC
rnacentral:rRNA from 1 species